UAUUUAACGCUUAAAAUUCAGAAGUAUC
rnacentral:piRNA from 1 species